rnacentral:lncRNA from 10 species
UUAAAAGAAAAAAUAGAAAAGUAAAGGGUCACUGAAGUAAUUGGUGGAAAAACUUCCAAAAUGCAUAUGUAUGGAGAAAAAACAUGCCCAAUGCUAUAUGAAGGUCAAGAGAAUAUAGUCUCAUAAGAAGCUCAUAAAUUUGGUAAGUAGGUUGCUGGCACUGAUGUGUAAGCUAGAAGUUCCAGGGACAGUGUGGAAACAGCAAACAGAUUGAGAAAGAUAAUCGUGGGAGUGUGAGACGUGUCAAGCCUACAUUGUGCAGUGCGGAGGUGACUCCUAGUGGGGGUUGGACACAUUGAACAAUAGGGAAUGACAAGGAAGUGAGAGAUUCCGUGAACAAUGAUAAAAAUGUAGUCCGGCCUUGAAAGGGAAACAAGUAAGUGUAGAUUCAGAUAAAAUGGGAGAAAAUAAGUGAGUUCAACAAUUGAAGAUAUGAAGAUCUUGAUAUUAAAGACUGUUUUAUGAGUAAGAUAAGAAGGAGGAAAGAAGAGAGAAUAUUGAAGAUAAUAUGAUAAAAGUCAGAAUUUCCAGUUUUUGUGACUGUAGGGAAAAAAC